rnacentral:lncRNA from 1 species
UUAGGGAAAACCAACAUUUUAGUUCGUGCAAGGUGAUAAAUGAAAUGUUCUGAAAACUGGUUGAAGAUAUAAGGCAAGUUUAAGAUGACAGAUACAGCAUAUCAACUGAAAUAAUUCUGUUAGCAGAAAGCUGGAUACUUUGAUUGAUGGACCCAGGAAACGCAAAGCACAGUGAUGGAGGAGUAAUUCUUCAAACAGAACUGGAAAGUGUUCUUACUAGAAGAAAAUGAGAAUGAAUGCUCAGCAGUCAAGAAAAGUGUAGUUUCUAUGGAAUCAAAAAAGAAGCAUUUAUUAAUAUUCAUCAUUUUUCUAAGGGAAGAAAGACCAGUGAAAAACUGCACGUAGACUGAGAACAGCAGUUUCAUUUAUACAAACUGUAUCCCUCCCUCAUCUGGCUUGGCCUCAGAUUGACAAAGCAGACCAUGAUGUCCCAGUUGGAAGUAAGAGAGGACAUCACUUGGCUCCCUCCAAAAUCCUCAGAAAAGAUUAACAUAGCUGCCACUAGAGGACUGCCUGACAUAUGUCCUGAUCUUUAAAGAACAUGAUGACUGUCUUCUAUGCAGUGUCAAAGGGCACAGAGAGUAAAGGCCUCCUACCACCAUUUCUGCCAUCCUUGAGGGCUGUCGUUCAAAGGCAGUACUGCAGUGACAACACUGACAAGUGAGAGUUAACCAACCAGCAAGAACUGAUGCAUGAGUCUACGUUUAUAGCUCAAACCCAAGACAUAGUGGAUGAUUGCUAGCCAAGAACCAUGCAUUCAUCUCUUGUCCGACAUGGAAGAGUCACCUAAAAUCAGCAUGACUGUACCAUUCUGCCUGUCCAAUUUCAUGCAGUUUCACAAAGGAAAUAUAAUGUAAGUCAGAGAAAAUGAUUCACUUGCGAGUCCGCCUUCUUAAAACUAGAGAAUGGCCAGGAGAUUUAAAGACAACCUCCCAGGUGCAAGUCCUGGAGCUUGUUAGAGCAUCUAGUCAAGUGCACAUGUGAGACUGGGGAGUUAGAAGGGUUGGAGAGAGUCUUCAAGGAGUGAAAUGGUGACUGAGGCUCACAUAGUUUGAAGUGGGAUUGGCCACUCAUCUUAAAUGGCAGGCCAGCCCUAUCUCAUCUCAGGCACUGAAAUGGGAUUUAUUAAUAGAAACUUUUGAGAAAGGCAUUCCAAAGAACAGAGGUGAAGUGCCAAGGACAGGAUUCUUGUUUGGGUCUAAAGGCAAUAUUGUUUGAAGUAUAAGAAUUUUAGAUGAAGUUCUAAUGUUGCUAUUUUAAUCCUUUACUUCUCCUUAGAAUAGAGGAACAAUUAUUUCAAGCACUGGACAAGAGUGUGUAGGACUUUAAGGGCAAGGCCUAUGAUAUCUGUGAUUCAGAUGGUCAUGCUUCUGUCUUUGAAUAUUGGCUAAGUCUGGCUACACCACCUGUCUGAUAAACAGGCAAAAUGAUAAGAUGGAAUAUUUUAACCUUUAAUAUAGGGGUUUUAACUUUUUUUAUGUCAAGUGUUACUUUGGUCAAAGAUUCAUUUGUGCAUAUAAUAAAUUUUUUGAAAAACGUACUCAACUUGAAUAAAAUAAUCCUAUGUAGAUACCCUCCAUAUUUGGCCUAGCAUUUUGGGAAGGAGUUGUCCUAAGCUCCUGAAGUCUCUUUUGGACCCUAAACUGGACAUUAAGAACGUCAAUAUUUACAGAAACUUGUAAUCCCUUUUGCAAUAUUUGCCUCCAUUGCUUGUCAAUGAGAAGCUUAAAUAUUUUUGUCCCUUAAUACCUUGACUUUUCUUUAUUUUAAUUUUUGUUCAUGUUUAGAAAGAAUUACUUUACUAGAAUCAUUAAAUAUUAAACGCUUCUAAUUUAUUUUCAAAAUAAUUGAAAGUCCCAUUAUCUGAUAGAUUCCAGUUUCUUCUUCUGUCAGCCCUUUAACCUUUUAAUUUUAGUCAACAUACAUUUACUUGGUAACCAGGAUAUCUUUAAAUUGAUACCCCUAUUUUUUCUUGUUUCUGUGACAGUCAGCACAAAUCUCUGCUUCCUAAUAAAUGCAGUUAGCACAUAAUAAACUGGUUUAUCUAAAGAUAAUGAAACAAGUUGUUUUAUAUUGCUUGUUUU